AAAACUUUCAACAACGGAUCUCUUGGUUCUGGCAUCGAUGAAGAACGCAGCGAAAUGCGAUAAGUAAUGUGAAUUGCAGAAUUCAGUGAAUCAUCGAAUCUUUGAACGCACAUUGCGCCCUCUGGUAUUCCGGGGGGCAUGCCUGUUCGAGCGUCAU
rnacentral:rRNA from 5 species